UCCUUAGUAGCUCAAUGGUAGAGCAAUCGGCUGUUAACCGGUUUGCUGUAGGUUCGAAUCCUACCUGGGGAG
rnacentral:tRNA from 1 species